GUGAGGAAGCCUGCAAAGUAUGCACUGCUGAGUUUGAGAACCUGUGAUCUAGACUGAUUUAAGCUUUGCAUGGAAGACGAGCAAGAACAGAUGAUUAUCUUUAUAAAUAUGUAAAGCUGAUGACUUCCAGCCGUGCACAACUCAAGUACUAAGCAGACUUCAAAGCAUAAACUGACAUUGCAAAUCUUUCUUCAGCUGGUAUUUUAGCUACAGCAACUUAAUGUGCCCUAGCAAAAGAGCAGCUUCAAGGAAUGGGAAAAGGUGAAGUAAAUGGGAGGAGACCGGAUUUCAUACACCGCAUUUCCCUCUCUGAUCCUAUAAUAGCCAAUGUCUCAUGCCCUCAGGUGAACAGCAAGAAGAUGUCCCAGCCAGCACAGAAUAUUCCUAUAUUCAGCAAGUGACCUUGGAACAUUACAGCCUGUACACACUAAGGCGAUGCUAAGCAUUAUAAUAUCCACAGAAGACUAGUGUAAAACAAAGCCAGUACAGUUUUCUGAAUUCACAAUAAAUAUGAGAUUGCAAAGAGAAACGGUAACAUCUAGAUGAUACAGUUACACCCUAUAGCAGUGAUUUUCAACCUUUUUUAACUUGCGGCACACCGAACAAUA